rnacentral:lncRNA from 1 species
AUAAACCUUUUUAAAGAAGUUGGCUGCUUUUAUAUUAGACUGCGGGUGUUUCAGACUGUGUGAAAAGAGGUUGCUAUUUGAAAGAGCUUCCACAGAUACUGUUGGUUGGAUAAGGAACAUGCAUUCUGAAAUGACAGAUUUCGACUCCUUGGACACAAACAAUAACAAAAGUUUCUUUGGAAAAUUAAAGAACCUACACAGUGGGCCUCCAACUCCACCCAAAAUGAUAGGUGAGCCUUCAGGAAAUCCCCCUCAUUAUGCUAUUGGGAAUAUAUGGUUCCUCUUUAUGGAAGUUAUAGUGUGAAGUGCUUAUUCUGCUCUCUCUCUCUCUCUCUCUCUCUCAUAUGACUAUACUUCUCUUGUCCUCCAUUUCUCUCUCUCUUAUUCCAUUCCCGUCUCUACUUUCUCUCGCUCUCUAUUUCUUUGUUUCAGAGAACAAUGCGGGGUAUGGUGGGUGGCCAGAAGAUGAGUUUGAUGAAGAGGAUGGGGACACAUAUGAGGUGCCCCCCUGUGAGAGACCCGCAUUGAAGGUUCCUUCCAGACAUGUGGAGGAGAAUGUCUAUUUGGAGAGGACGUCAGAGCGGUCCAAUCCUGUUCUCCCCAAAAGGCAGGCAGCUGCACCCCCAAGGCCAGCCAUGAUGGCGCCCAUGGGCAAAGCAUUGAAACAGCAGCCUCAACCUGAGGAGUUCUACAUUGACCCCAACACCAAGAAACGUGAGACUUCCCCCUCUCUUUCCUCCGCUCGUAUAUCUUCCUAUUCUCCCCUCUCUCUAUACUCUUAUCCUCCUUCUAUCCUCCCCUCUCCCUAUCCUCCCCUCUCUCUAUCCUCCUAUCCUCUGCUCCCUAUCCUCCUAUCCUCUGCUCCCUAUCCUCCUAUCCUCUGCUCUCUACCCUCCCCUCUUAGUCCAGGACAUCCUAUUUGA